rnacentral:tRNA from 1 species
UGGCCAAGUGGUAAGGCGCASACUAGUAAUGCUGAGAUCAUCAGUUCAAAUC